rnacentral:rRNA from 1 species
UACCUACGGGGGGCAGCAGUGGGGGAUAUUGCACAAUGGGGGGAACCCUGAUGCAGCGACGCCGCGUGGGUGAAGAAGCGCCUCGGCGCGUAAAGCCCUGUCAGCAGGGAAGAAAAUGACGGUACCUGAAGAAGAAGCCCCGGCUAACUACGUGCCAGCAGCCGCGGUAAUACGUAGGGGGCAAGCGUUAUCCGGAUUUACUGGGUGUAAAGGGGGCGCAGACGGCGAUGCAAGCCAGGAGUGAAAGGCGGGGGCUCAACCCCCGGACUGCUCUGGAAGCUGUACGGCUGGAGUGCAGGAGAGGU